rnacentral:lncRNA from 1 species
UCUGUUGUGUAUGUCAGAGUCUGAGUUUUUGUCUUCUUUUCUUGAGUUGUAUAUGGAAUAUGAUUGUGUCCAUAAUAGUUGUAUAAAUUAGGUGAUGCUUGGAGAAUUGAAUGAUUUGAACUUGAUAGUCGUAUUGUCUGUUAUGGUAGCCAACUUUGGCCUUGUGGAGUACGUUAAAAUGUCAAUCUAACUAGUUUGAAUUAGAUUAAUACAUUGGCGUUGUGAUUGGUGGUUGGAUUGGGAUUGGA